UCUACCCUACGGGGGGCAGCAGUGGGGAAUAUUGUACAAUGGGCGCAAGCCUGAUGCAGCGACGCCGCGUGCGGGAUGGAGGCCUUCGGGUUGUAAACCGCUUUUGUUCAAGGGCAAGGCACGGUCUUUGGCCGUGUUGAGUGGAUUGUUCGAAUAAGCACCGGCUAACUACGUGCCAGCAGCCGCGGUAAUACGUAGGGUGCAAGCGUUAUCCGGAUUUAGUGGGCGUAAAGGGCUCGUAGGCGGUUCGUCGCGUCCGGUGUGAAAGUCGAUCGCUUAGCGGUGGAUCCGCGCAGGGUACGGGG
rnacentral:rRNA from 1 species